GCGUUGGUGGUGUAAGGCGUAGCAUCUCAGCCCGGAAAGCAGAAGGUGCGGGUUUAAGUCUCGCCUGGCGCA
rnacentral:tRNA from 1 species